rnacentral:rRNA from 1 species
UGGAGAGUUUGAUCCUGGCUCAGAUUGAACGCUGGCGGCAGGCCUAACACAUGCAAGUCGAGCGGCAGCACGGGUACUUGUACCUGGUGGCGAGCGGCGGACGGGUGAGUAAUGCCUAGGAAUCUGCCUGGUAGUGGGGGAUAACGCUCGGAAACGGACGCUAAUACCGCAUACGUCCUACGGGAGAAAGCAGGGGACCUUCGGGCCUUGCGCUAUCAGAUGAGCCUAGGUCGGAUUAGCUAGUUGGUGAGGUAAUGGCUCACCAAGGCGACGAUCCGUAACUGGUCUGAGAGGAUGAUCAGUCACACUGGAACUGAGACACGGUCCAGACUCCUACGGGAGGCAGCAGUGGGGAAUAUUGGACAAUGGGCGAAAGCCUGAUCCAGCCAUGCCGCGUGUGUGAAGAAGGUCUUCGGAUUGUAAAGCACUUUAAGUUGGGAGGAAGGGCAGUUACCUAAUACGUAWCUGUUUUGACGUUACCGACAGAAUAAGCACCGGCUAACUCUGUGCCAGCAGCCGCGGUA